rnacentral:rRNA from 1 species
GGGAAAUUGAUAGUCUAGAGUGAGGGAGAGGCAGAUGGAAUUGGUGGUGUAGGGGUAAAAUCCGUAGAUAUCACCAAGAAUACCCAUUGCGAAGGCGAUCUGCUGGAACUCAACUGACGCUAAGGCGCGAAAGCGUGGGGAGCAAACAGGAUUAGAUACCCUGGUAGUCCACGCCCUAAACGAUGUACACUAGUUGUUGGGGUGCUAGUCAUCUCAGUAAUGCAGCUAACGCAUUAAGUGUACCGCCUGGGGAGUACGGUCGCAAGAUUAAAACUCAAAGGAAUAGACGGGGACCCGCACAAGCGGUGGAGCAUGUGGUUUAAUUCGAAGAUACGCGAAGAACCUUACCUGGGCUUGAUAUCCUAAGAACCUUUUAGAGAUAAGAGGGUGCUAGCUUGCUAGAACUUAGAGACAGGUGCUGCACGGCUGUCGUCAGCUCGUGUCGUGAGAUGUUGGGUUAAGUCCCGCAACGAGCGCAACCCACGUAUUUAGUUGCUAACGGUUCGGCCGAGCACUCUAAAUAGACUGCCUUUGUAAGGAGGAGGAAGGUGUGGACGACGUCAAGUCAUCAUGGCCCUUAUGCCCAGGGCGACACACGUGCUACAAUGGCAUAUACAAUGAGACGCAAUACCGCGAGGUGGAGCAAAUCUAUAAAAUAUGUCCCAGUUCGGAUUGUUCUCUGCAACUCGAGAGCAUGAAGCCGGAAUCGCUAGUAAUCGUAGAUCAGCCAUGCUACGGUGAAUACGUUCCCGGGUCUU